rnacentral:rRNA from 1 species
ACAAGGUUUCCGUAGGUGAACCUGCGGAAGGAUCAUUGCUGAGGCCCUAGCCGAGAAAAUGUGAAUCUGUAAAUGUGAUGCAUGAGCGCGAGGUGUUGUCGCUUCUUGCCCUCCCCUCUCGUGAAUGCAUGCCCCGCCCGUUCUGGUGCCGCGCUUGUAGUUCCUCUGCGGUGCGUGGGCAUUACAACAAACCCCGGCGCAACUCCGCGCCAAGGAUCAAUGGGUUAAUGCUGGGCUGAUUCCUAGGAGUCUUCUGGCUGUGCCUUUCACGGUUCAUGUAACCUCUGUAUAGACUUUGAUGACUCUCGGCAACGGAUAUCUAGGCCCUCGCAUCGAUGAAGAACGUAGCGAAAUGCGAUACUUGGUGUGAAUUGCAGAAUCCCGUGAACCAUCGAGUCUUUGAACGCAAGUUGCGCCCGGAGCCAUUAGGCCGAGGGCACGCCUGCUUGGGAGUCACGCCUCAUGGCGCCACCGUGACCUUCAUACACAGGUCAUGCGUGGCGGAUGAUGGCCUUCCGUGGCCCUUCUGCUGCGGUGGGCUGAAGGAUGCGGAGUUGGUCUAGCCGAACUUUGAUUGCACGGCUGUGCUGGGUUGUUGCCGAUAUGGGACAUUGUGGGCAUUGUUGUCGUGCUGAAGCUCUCGGUUGGUCUCGGUCUCUGUGAUCACCCAUUGAAAUCUAGUCUUGGACUAUGGCUCUUGUUGCGACCCCAAGUCAGGC